CAUUAAGCACUCCGCCUGGGGAGUACGGUCGCAAGACUGAAACUCAAAGGAAUUGACGGGGCCCGCACAAGCGGUGGAGCAUGUGGUUUAUUUCGAAGCAACGCGAAGAACCUUACCAGGUCUUGACAUCCUCUGACAAUCCUAGAGAUAGGACGUCCCUUCGGGGGCAGAGUGACAGGUGUGCAUGGUUGUCGUCAGCUCGUGUCGUGAGAUGUUGGGUUAAGUCCCGCAACGAGCGCAACCCUUGAUCUUAGUUGCCAGCAUUCAGUUGGGCACUCUAAGGUGACUGCCGGUGACAACCGGAGGAAGGUGGGGAUGACGUCAAAUCAUCAUGCCCCUUAUGACCUGGGCUACACACGUGCUACAAUGGACAGAACAAGGGCAGCGAAACCGCGACGGUUAAGCCAAUCCCACAAAUCUGUUCUCAGUUCGGAUCGCAGUCUGCAACUCGACUGCGUGAAGCUGGAAUCGCUAGUAAUCGCGGAUCAGCAUGCCGCGGUGAAUACGUUCCCGGGCCUUGUACACACCGCCCGUCACACCACGAGAGUUUGUAACACCCGAAGUCGGUGAGGUAACCUUUAGGAGCCAGCCGCCGAAGGUGGGACAGAUGAUUGGGGAAAGUCG
rnacentral:rRNA from 1 species